CCUACGGGUGGCAGCAGUGGGGAAUAUUGCACAAUGGGGGAAACCCUGAUGCAGCGACGCCGCGUGAGUGAAGAAGUAUUUCGGUACGUAAAGCUCUAUCAGCAGGGAAGAAAAUGACGGUACCUGACUAACAAUCCACGGCUAACUACGUGCCAGCAGCCGCGGUAAUACGUAGGGGGCAAGCGUUAUCCGGAUUUACUGGGUGUAAAGGUAGCGUAGACGGCAGCGCAAGUCAAGAGUGAAAUCCCAUGGCUUAACCAUGGAACUGCUUUGGAAACUGUGCAGCUAGAGUGCAGGAGAGGUAAGCGGAAUUCCUAGUGUAGGGGUGAAAUGCGUAGAUAUUAGGAGGAACACCAGUGGCGAAGGCGACUAACUGGAAUGUAACUGACGUUGAGGCGCGAAAGCGUGGGGAGCAAACAGGAUUAGAUACCCGAGUAGUC
rnacentral:rRNA from 1 species